GUGCUUGCUUCGGCACAUACACUAAAUUGGAAUGAUACAAAGAAGAUUAGCAUGGCCCCUGUGCAGGGAUGACACGCAAAUUCGUGAAGCGUUCCAUAUUUUU
ensembl:snRNA U6 U6 spliceosomal RNA